GCAAGUCGAACGAACUCUUCGGAGUUAGUGGCGCACGGGUGAGUAACGCGUGGGAAUGUACCCUUAGGUGCGGAACAACAGUUGGAAACGACUGCUAAUACCGCAUAAUAUCUCCGGAUCAAAGAAUUUCGCCUAAGGAUCAGCCCGCGUUAGAUUAGAUAGUUGGUGGGGUAACGGCCUACCAAGUCGAUGAUCUAUAGCUGGUUUGAGAGGAUGAUC
rnacentral:rRNA from 1 species